rnacentral:lncRNA from 1 species
GUUCCUUACGUCGUAACUACAAUCCCCUUCCCUUUCAUGAAUGUAACCUACCGAAUUAGACUAUUUACCGGAUUUGUAAUCACAUAAGCAACACGACGGGUGCCACAUGUGGAGCAGGAUCUGCUUACCCUUCCGGAGCAGCUGAGAUCACCCCUAGUUUUUGGUGGGGUUCGUGUUGUUUAUUCUUUAGUUUUCUAUGUUGUGUCAUGUGUACUAUUGUUUUUCUGUUUGUCUUUUUCAUAUUUAGCCAUGGCGUUGUCAGUUUGUUUUAGAUUUAUGAGUUUGACUGUCCCUUUGGUAUCUUUCGUCCCUCUUAAAUU